rnacentral:misc_RNA from 1 species
CACUCAACACGAGAAGGCCGCUGCUCGUAUCAUACGUUUAUCAUCAUUUACAUUGUUGAAACGACGUGUAUUUGUGACAAAAGUAUUUGGAUCCCGUCGUUCAAGACUAUCCUCAAGUAGAACACGGGUACUAGAUCUAAACACGGUACUUUCGUCCGUAAAACCCGCGCCUUGUAGCGGCAUCCGGCUACUAACAAACUUUCUGGCUGGAGAUGAGCUAUGAACAAUAAUAAGAUGACUUCAAAAAGCGUCGAAGCUGAGUAUUUGGACAUCGCCAACAAGAACGCUUGGCCUCUGGUGUAUCAGAAACUUGGACGAGAAUGCCAGGCAUAUCCAUACACAUUUACCGAAGCAAAGAAGCCACAGAACAAGCCGUUGAACCGCUAUCGAGAUGUGAACCCGUAUGACCAUAGCCGUAUCAUCCUGAAGCGUUGUGAAAGAGAUUACAUCAACGCCAACCUCGUUAGGAUGGAUCGUGCGAACCGGAAGUACAUCCUGACUCAGGGCCCGCUGGCGUUCACCGUCGGCCACUUCUGGCUGAUGGUAUGGGAACAAGACAGUCGCGCCAUCCUAAUGCUAAAUAAGGUGAUUGAGAAGAAUGAGAUCAAAUGUCAUUGGUACUGGCCGCACGGGAUCGGCGAGGCCCACAAGCUGGUGUUGAGCGACGUAAAACUAACAGUGGAGCAGAUCAAUGAGGAAGACUGCAAUUAUUACACCACCAGGCUGUUCAAGAUUCACGACAUGGAGACAGAAGAAUCGCGCGAAGUGAUCCAGUUCCACUACACCACGUGGCCCGACUUCGGGGUGCCGUCGUCUCCGGUGGCGUUCCUGGAGUUUCUAAAGCGGGUGCGCUUGUCUGGAGCCCUGGACGCGAAUGUGGGGCCGGCGGUGGUGCAUUGCAGCGCCGGUAUCGGCCGCUCCGGCACCUUCUGUCUGGUCGACUCUUGCCUCGUCAUCAUCGAAAAUGAGGGUGUGAAUAGCGUGAACAUCCAGGAGGUUCUACUGCAGAUGCGGCGCGACCGCAUGGGGCUCAUCCAGACCCCCGACCAGCUGCGCUUCUCCUACCAGGCCGUCAUCGAAGGCGCCAAACGCCUGGACCCCGAAUGGAAGGAGGACUCGAAGUUGGAAGAGAGCAUAUACGCGACGGUAGCGGAGUGCGAGGCUAGCGAAGAGGCGCCGCCUCCACCGCCGCCGCGUGGCGAGAGCCUAUCACGCCCGCCAGCGCGCCCCCUGCCCGCCAUACCGGCUAGCGCUUCACUUGGCAACCUGAACUACUCAGCUACAGCGGAGUCAUCAAGCUCGGACGAGGGCGGCCCUCCCUCGCCCCCCGCGCGCGAGUCCCCCUCCCCCACCUUCUCCGCGUCCUCAGCUGACGACGAGGACGACGAACCCACCUCCGCGCCCACUGAAAGCGGCGAGACAUCGGAGACUGCGCUGCGCCGGCGGCGAACGCGCGAGUUGUCUGAACGCGUGUCGGCCAUGAAGCGCCGCGCGCGCCGCGUCGAGCGGUGGCACGCCCUCAAGAGGUCUCUGUACAAACCCCUCACAAUCACCAUCGGCGUGUUCCUCGCCUCGAUCCUCAUCUACUCAUACGUCAAACAUUAAACACAAUACUACUGCGAACUGCGGACGAACUACACACUUUAGAAAAAUAUAUAAGUAACGAAAAAGAUCGAUAAAUUCGAUAUUCGAACCCGUGGCUUAAUUCAAACCCAUGACUCAUGUCAAGCUGGCACGAGUGUUACCAACAACAUCGGGAUUCUUUUUUUAUAUUUUUGGGUUGCUCUAGACAAGUGCUAUAUAAACAUUAAUAAAUUAAUAAACGCGCAAGGAUUGGGAUCGUUUCAGGAGGUGACAAAAUUUUCCUUUCAGUACAAAAUGUUUCAUACUGGGCUGACAGCUACUACCAUUUGAAUUUAAGAUACUCACGAGUGCGAAAGAGAGGAUAUCAUUAGAUACAUAAUCCAGGGUAUCUUAAAGAAACGAGACAACAGUAUUUACCGUGUUUUUCGAGAAUAUUCUGCAUUUAAACCACUAAAAUAUAAUUACUUGUAUGAUAAAUUCACAAUGUAUUUAUUCAUUAAUUGGCGAAAUGGCUGCCUCUACACUUACUGAUAAGUGUCUGAUAGCCUGCCUGAAGCUUAUUAUGCAGGUAGGAGCUAUUAACACACACUUGUCCGGCAGAUAAGCUAUCGGACAGUUUAUCAGCAAAUCCUGGGCAUUUGAUUGGGUCAAAAAUAGAAAAAUAAUAAAAUGCUAUUCUUGAAAUAGAAGCCUGUCUAAGUUGGUCAAAAAUCAAUCUCAUUUUUCUUUUUUACUUAUUUUCGAAUUUUUAUUAUGAAGUAAGUAAGAAUGAGGGCGUUGUUUGACCAUUUCUAUUGAUGACGUUACUGUAGCAUUUCUACACAAUUUCCCCAAUUUCCAAUAGAAAAUUUUCAACAAUCUACUAUGAUAUUGCACCAGAGGUAAUUAGGAUAUAACCCAAAAUAUGUUACGUGCUAUGUUUGCCCCUAGAGUUAUCAUUAGGGGCAAACAUAGCUGCGACUGGUAGACUUAGGGGUAUCGUUACAGCGUGCAGCGGUAGUUGUUUAAUCCCGUUAUUUCGAUAGUCGAAUCGUCCGGGAAUCUUAUGAAAAAUCAAAAAGUCUUACCCGAAGAGGUUUUAUAUUACGUCACUAAGUAUAGACUAGCGAAUUUCCAUUUAACGUAACGUUCUUGCGAAUGCUCGACGCUCUGCUCGAAAAAAUGCUCGCGGCGAAUUUACUUAUAACAUUCCUGUAUGUCGUCCUUAAGAUACUCCUUCACCGGGAGUAUUCCCCUAUAAUGUAAUAAUUAUGAUUUUGAUAAUUACGUUACAAUACUGCAUAGCUGAUUAUUAGCGGUUCCCCUCCCUCACCGGUGUAAUGCUCGGAUAUGUAACAUUAAGUUGCCGAUAGACUUGAGCAUUCACUUGUAACAGAACAUCAAGCAUUCGCCAUUUUUAUAUUUGUCGAACUGAACAAUGAGCCGAGCCAAGCAUAGAGCCAAACAUUGCUAUGAACGUUUUCAUGAGCAAGAACGCUCGAUAGAAUGCUCGCAAAAUUAUUCUCGUAUUGUAUCUUUCGCACAUACAAGAGGGAGCACCUUUAUAAAAAAAUAAUUUUGUAACAAUCGCAUUCUGUUUUGAAAAAUCACAUCAGAAUGCCCUAGGAUGUUGUAUGCCCGAUAUUCUGUUACAAGUAAACGAUAAUCUAUACUCACCUUUUUUCCCUCAUUCAGCGGUUAUCGCUAUCGGCCCACUAGGGUCGAUUAAUUCUGUCAAAUAUUCUUCCUCUCAGACGCCCUGAGACGAGGUUCGCACCCAACUAGGCACCCUCAGGCCUGUUGUCUUAAAUUUUGUAUCGGGUGAGAGACCUCAGCGCUCUUGAUUUGUCCGGCCAAGUAGUUAAUGCCAUCUGUGGCAAACUUACAAUAAAUCACGUUAAAAAAAUACCUUACAGGAAGCGGCUCCCAACUCUGUUACUAUCCCACCGCACUACUAGCUUCACCCGAAACACACAACCCAUAACAUUUUUGAAGGUGUAAAGUAACAUUAGACCUAAAUAUACUUUAAUUUAAUUACACAUAGGCCCCGAUUCCUGCACACACAACCUAAUUUUAUUUUAAGUUAUACCUGUCGUCCUCUUUUCCGCCGAAUAGGAAAGGGACGGAUGAUUGACAACUGUUAAUUUUAAAAUGAAUAAAUAACCCGGACGAAUAAAAUUGGCAUCUCGCUCAUAUGCAAUGUUUGACGUGUGCUGGCAACUUAAUUCUGUCGGGUUAUUGGCCAAUAUAAAAUUUUGGAAGGUUUUUUUUUAAAUUUCUGCUUUAAAUUGACGUCUGUUCCAUAAAUUUUAUGCCUGUCCCUUUCCCUUUCGGCAGAUAAGAAAAUGACAGAUGUAAACUAAAAUAAAGCUGACCUAACCUGCUGAUACUAACACCGCUCGCGUAUUCAAUGUAUGGUCACGAGUACUAAUAUGUAUGCACUUUGAAACCAUGUCACAUUAACUUUUUUGACAAAUUAAACCGUAAGUCUCAUUAAAUGUCAAAUACGAUAGUGCGACAGGGUUCUAAAGUGGGUACAUGAUAUUACUUAUGCCUGUAUAUGUACUAUAUUAUAAAUACUUGCUGCAUACAUAAGAUAUUAUAGUCUGAGCCAAUACUUUCGGGACUGUUGUACAAUUUUGCUACGACUCGUAGCUUUUAAAUGGACGAAUCGGUGUUAUAAAAGCAAGCUAUAAUAACGUACCUAAACGAAAGAGUAAUAAUUGUGUACCGGACUGGAAUGGGCAUGUGAGUGGCGCUAACGGGGAGGGUUAGGUUAGGUUAGGUUAUAUUUAUAAUAAAAUGAAUGAGUCUCGAAAAUUAUUCAAAUCAAAAUUAACAUUCUGUCAAAUUAAAAACACAAAAUGUCGAUCACUGAAGUACAUGACCUUCAACAAGUUUAUCCAUGAUAAUUAUAUCUUAUCACUUGUUUAUCAAGAACUGUACUUAAGUACGGUAUUGUCAAAUCCGAUUUGUCCAUUUGAAAGUAUGUCUCGAUAUAAUUGCGUCGACCCAUCUUCUAUGAGAUAAAACAACUAAAAAUCAAAUAUCAAAAGUAAUAUUAGUACUCAAUAUUCUAGAUAAAUGGCGCCGGCUUAAUGACAAUACAUAGAUUGGAUUUCGCAUGGACAGGAAUAGGAACCGGUGGCGUAAUGGUUAACAUGCUCGUCCCGGCUUGACAAGAGCUCCGGGUUCAAGACCCGUCCAAGUCAGAUUUUUUUUCGAUUUAAUGUUUUUUCUUUUCAACUAAAAGAAAUCUAAAAGUCUGUAGUUCGACCGCAGGAUGACGUAUAAGGCUCUGCAGCCUCCUUUUUAUAUAAGUAAAACAUAUUUUUCUAUGAAAUAUUGACAAAUUCGAGUGCCGCCCGAGAAACCGGCUCAACUGUAUGUUAUAGGGAAAAUGUUGAGAACAUCUCAUCAAUAUUUUGAUACGAGCUAAAGAUACUACACGUCGUUGUAUCAACGUGCGAAGAUACCAUAAUGUUUCCUAGUGCGAAUAAAUGAAUGUUAUACAUUUUCCUAACAUACUUUUGGAGCGUACGCAUAUUCUAAACUAGCCAAUAGAUUUUCUAACAGAUCACAUGUAGUGUUACAGUAUUCGACAGGACGGAUUGAGUUAUUCAAAUAUGCAAUCAAACUUUAUAAGCCGCACUCGGACUUAUGAAUUGAAAAGACAGCGAAUUUUGACUAGUUGUAAAUAUUUAGAUUACUCGGCAGAAUUACUUUAGCACUAUUGAGUCGCAGAGUGGUGUACCUACUGCGUCUAUUGAUAUCCCCGGCCUCAAUACGUUGAAAGUUGACGACUUGUAAAACGCUUCGUGAUCAGCGUUCGAUGAAUUUACAAUAAUUUAUUCCAUUUUUAUGAAUUUAAACUAAGUCCAAUUGCAAUUCUUGUAGAUUUUUGUAAUAAUGGUCAAUUCAUGUAUCUUUACACACGUACGUAAUUUGCGCCCGUAAAUGCUGUGGUGGUGGGUAGAGAAAAUGAAAGUAGUCUAUCGUAUCGCUGAGCAGAUAAUCCCUUAUUUAUUAUGCAUUAUAUUUUUACUCUUAAUUCCCGAAAUGAACUUUUAUAUUAUUUUUAUAAUAUUUAAAUCAAUGAAAACCUAGACACUCAAAUGUAGGUGACAGCACUGUUGAAUGUCCCUAAAUUUUGACACAUCCCAAUAUUUUCCAGCUAAAGUUCGUAAUAACAGUGUGUCCUGUCUGAAGGAUGAGUUACGAAAAGAAAAGCAACCAUCCGUCGGAAAAUGGCAAUUUUGAUUGAAAAGACGUUUUUCAUAGAUGUUUCAAAAUAGGCUUCAUCACAGUUGAGCCAUUUCCUUCUGCUCGUAUUAAUAAUAUGUUCAAGAUUAGUUCUUAAAGAAAAAACUAAACUGAAACUGAUAAAAAUAUUUUAUUCUUAUUCUUUCCCAUCUUUAGAGAAAAAAUGGGGUAUAAUAUACAAAUAUACCCAAAACAAUGUGUUUGUUUACUCCAAUAGUAUGGGGAACUGUGAAAAUUUAAGAACACUCUGCAGUGGCGCCACCUAACGGGAGAAAUGGGCAGUUUUUAUCCUGAUUAUAAUUUCCGUUAUUUUAUUAUUCGGGUCUGGUAUCCCUAAGGGUUUGUAAGACUUUCACAGGCCAUUGAUGGCAAGAUCUCACGUGGAAACCUUUUGGAGACUGAUGGAAAUUACUAUUUAUUUAUAUUACUUGAUAUAUUCGACGUUAAGUCAGCAAUGAUUGAAGUACGGACGCUACCAGUGGCGACAUCGUAGAAUGUUAUUUUAUCAAAAUGACUAUUUUUGCAAAACCUCCCGUACUUACAACUCCAAAUCAUUUAUUGUUCAUAAUGUGGGUAGGUCAAAGAUAAAUUAUGAAAUUCUGAUUACUAAAUAAAGACUGAUUUAAAACGUGACGAAAAACAUUUUCUUUUUCCGUUUAACUUAUUUAAGAAUUUUAAACAAGAUAAACGUAAUAAUGAGUCCGACUUAAAUCACGUUCUCUAUGAUGUCACAGUGUGCGUUUUCUUACAAAUUCCAUAGUAAUUUCGUGUUUUGACGUUUAGUAAAAAGUAACUGAUUUGUCUAGAUGGAAACUAGCCUGUUGUGGGUACAUAUUUUUUCAUAUCAAUGUUAUUAAGUUAUACCGUAGGAGUAGGUGUGUUGGUGUCCGUGCCACUGGGUGACUGGAGUGUCCGUCGCACAAAAAUAUUCUAUACUAUAGAGUUCUUACAGUGCGCCGCCAAACGCGUUAGUUUGAGCGAGACAGCCGAGCGCUCUUCCCCUUACUCAUUAACGUCUCACAACCAUUUAAGACUAAAGAAACACCCAGAGAGGGUGAAGUAAAUCUAUCUUAGAUUUGGGCCGGAGUGUUACCGUUCUAUACGUAGUAUUUCUCUUUAUUAUACGUAUGCCCGUACUAGGAAAACCGCUGCAGGCUUAAACAAGGUCCAUAACAUUUUUCUAUAUCCUAAUACCUUUAUGAUGCAAUAGGGCCAUUUUGCGAAUGGGAUCAGUAACAGACGCAGACUGCAGCGUUUGUGGCUUACUCUUCAGUGUUGUGACAUAAUACUAUAACUCGCGAACUCUAAUUUCCAAAUUUAGUAUGCAAUUAUAAGCUUAAACAAUAGUAAACUGUAUAGCGAUUUUUAAUUGUAAUUUAUGUUUAUGACACCAUCGCAAAAGUCUGAUAUUUGUAAGUAUUACGACUUAGCACUGUUAUUAGUACAUGUAAAUAAAGGUGUUGUCAGUUAUAAGUGCAGGUACGAAUAUUGAGCGCAGAUCUGUCUGUAAAAUCAAUGAACGGGCGCCAUUUUUAACGCAAUAAAUCGAUCGAUUUUAAAAAAUGUUACUCUUCAGGGUUUAGAUUUACAAUCGGAACCGUUAGAUGGCGCUGUGAUCGGGCAGAAAAUAUUCGCCCAGUCCGCUAGUAUUCAUUAUAAUUUACAAUAACUGAUUUUUUUAAAGUCCAAAGUUUAAAUAAACGUAUAUUUUACGACGUCUCAGAAACAUUUCUUUACAACAUUUACAUUAUCGCAAAAAAGGUACAAAGAAAAUAAAAUGCUUCAGAAAUAAAAGAAAAAGUAUGAAAAUACAUAUACGAGUGCAAAAUCACGCCCAUCAAUUCUUAAUGGGGUGGGGAAAGCGACAACUUUCUAACUUUAAGUUAUCUUCUUUUAUAGUUUCUUGGAAUUAUCAUGUUGGGAAGGUCGGUUAUCCUCAACCCACACGACAGAAAACUACUGUCAUUCAGCGCUCAAUAUUAGUUCCUAGAUAGCAUACCGAAUUGUUCAAUAACAUACAGGCACAGGCCUCCCGCCAAUCAACCGGGGGGAAUUGUUCAAUAACACCCUAUAAUUCGGUACACAUAUCUGCAGUAGCUUCAUAUUAAAAAGUAUUAGUAUAUUACGUAUUGGUAUUCACAAUAAGUGGCGCUGUCUGGGUAGGCUGAUAGGGGUUAAACCCUAUUAACAAUUUAAAUACAUAUAUACACAUAGAACCAUAAGUCAAUAUUAUGAGGGACGUUCCAGGCUACGUUCCUUAAGAACAAUAUAGAUGGCGCUGUACAGUUUUUCGUUCGUUUAACCUUCUAAUUUCAUGGAUAACAGACAUGUGCAUCUUUUGUCUUUGUUUUAUGGUAUAAAUGAUGACCGCUUUUAUUACACCCAGGCAUAAUUACAUGGAUCAAAAUACAUUUGCAAAAUCACAUUCUGAUUAUUUCUAAUGUGAAAUUCGCUUUGUUGGUAGCGCUGUUCAGAUUUAACGUAAUAAUUUCUCAUUGCUUGGGGUACAUGAUUAUUCAAAACUAUAAUGUAAUUGCAGAGGCAUAUAUAAAAGUUAUUGUUGCUUGAUAUUUGGAUCAGAUACGUAUACAAUCAUGUUGCUACCUAUAUCGCUUCACUUUAUUUGGCGUAAUAACAAAGGUCUAGAAGGUCUUAUACCCAAAAAUAAAGAUAAAAGUUGCUUAUGUCUGUUAUCCAUGAACGUUAAACGCAGGAAAAUCUUUACAGCGCUAUCUAUAUUUUGUUUGACGAACGUUGCCUGGAAAGCCCCUCAUUGGUCACUUUAUUCCGUGUUAUUGUAAAAUAUCCAAGUAGGUACAGUUCCGAGUUUCCCCUUAUCUUGCACAUAAUGCGUGCUGCAUUUUUAGUUUGUUGAUCUCUAAGCGGAUACCGAUAAAUUAUGUAUAAUUGUAUAUCAUGUCUAGACACUGCAUUUUUUUAUUCGCUGUGCUAGGUAAUACGUAUAAAAUAAUAACAAUUUCAGUAUUCAUUUUACAUUAGCACACUUUCGUUUUAUAACUAUGAACGUAUAAAUACACAUUUUCUAUCCCUUGCCAUUUUUUCAGUUGGCAACCGCAUUUUUUACUAAGUAUAUUUCAAUUAAAUAAGAAUUAUGAGCUUAUUCUCAUUGUAGGUGAAACUAAUUUAAUAAAUGUAUAAUUAGGCUGUAUAAAAAGGUGCAGGGUAUUGAGAAUAUUUUGUCCAAAAACAUUUCAAUAUUUUUUAAUUGGCUAAUGUAGUUUUUUAGGCAGGUAACAUUUUUACAUGUAAUAAGAACGAUAGAUAAAUCUUUUAUUCGUUUCCCUAGGCGUUUGGAAUAAAUUCUCAAUACUUUAGCAAUGUCUGUCUCUACUAGUCUACGAUGGCUGGCAGUGCCGCUGUAUUGUUUUAAACAAUGGAUUUUCCACAAUAUUUAUGUGGACAAAUGUGAGACGAGCGGUUGCCGUUUUGGUGUCAAGUGCCUUUAAAAGGAUUCAGAUAUAUUUAUAUUUUGCAUAUUUCACAAAUGUGCGCAUAGCUAUUGUGAGAAAACCAUUCGUUUUCGACGAUGCAGUCCCAGUGCCCGCUGCAGGGGACUAGUGAAGCACGACUGUAGUUUCGUUGUAGAUAGUAUGUUAGUCGAUAGAAAGUAUACGCGGGUCUAUACGGUGUUAGAAUGAACUAGCUCGUAAAGAACUAAAAUCUUUUGUCGGUCGAUAUUGAUGCGAUGAAUGCCAGUUAGAUAUGCUAUAAUCAGCGAUAUAUGAGUAUAGCAAUCAGCAAAAAUAACACGUUCUUUGUAAAUACGUAUUUUUAUACUUUUUAUAAUUGUGAAUAACUAUACCUACCUACAUACAAUAAAUGUAAUCUCAGCAAUAUAAUCAACAGUCUAAACAUUGAAUAAAGUUUAAUUAAACCUAACUAUAAUAAUUAUAAAAAUAUACAAUUUAAAAAAAGGUUGCUUAUCAUUAUAUAUAAUAAUAUUUCAAUUCUAAUUUGAAAAGUAGGCAUAUUAAAUAGCUCAAUUUGUUUGCAAUUUAUCUGACGUAUGUAUAUUUGUUUAAUAAUGUCUAAUUUUUUUAUUAAUAUGAUAGGUAUAGUGCACGUUAACAGUUAGGUUAUGUAAUAGUAUAAGUAUCAAGAUGCACUUUCCCGGCAUCGGAACUUUAGUAGUGUAAGGCGGGGUUGGAAUGUACUUGAACAGCGGUUUAUUAUUUCAGGUUUAAAUCGGAGGAAAAACCUCAAAGCGAACCAUGUGAAGACUGAGGAGAUUAGACGAAGUGUGUAUUGAGUAUACCAGCAACCAAAGGUCUCAAUUCUCCGAAAAUAAUCACAUUAUUAGGGCGACAUUUUGAUUGAGAUUUCGGAAUUCGGUUCUCGCAUAGGGAUAAUUUGCUUUGACGAUUCAUUUACAUUAAUAAUGCAAUUUGUAAUAUAACAUAUUAUGUAUAUUAUAACUUUAAUGAUAAUAAUAAUUUAUUUUUAAAAUUGACAAUGAUUUUAAUAAUGCUUUUGAGUUAGGUUUAUGAUAAUUUUGUGUAUCGCUGUAUUUUUUGACGUAACUCACUAUUGUGUACCGAAAAUGUACUUGUGUUGCUAUGGUAACUGACUGCUCCGGCUCCAGGGUUUACCUUCGGGCGAAACUCUGCUAUUUACACCUAAAGCUAUGUGAAGUGGACUUUGGUUUCCGACUCUUUCAACAACGUCAAGAGACAUCACAAUCUAAGUAAUGUAAUAACGGGAGGAUAUGUUUCAUAUAUAGCAUUUAAAUGGCAGAGCUAAGCAGCUAGGUGCAUCUAGAUGCUUUUACAGUCCCCGGGCCAUGCGCAAAUUACGUCAGUCACUUCCCCGGGCGAAACCUUGUUCUCCCGGGCGAUUACAGAAAAAAAAACAUUUCUUUUUGCAACUUGAGAGUAUUUGCUUUUCUCGGGGACAAUUAGAUUGUCAGACCUGUGCCCUUUAUCAAAACUUACAAGCCCUGUAUCACAAGAAAUUUUCUAGUAAAAAUUUUCAUUAUUACAAGAAUGCGUUUAUUAAAAGUACACAUGUAAAUUACACGUUACAAGUGUCAAUAUUUAUUUCACAAGUAUAUUUAACAACCCCUCUAUUUUUUGUUCGUUAAACGUAGUUUACUCGAACUUGUGAGUAACUUGUAGACUUGUAAGUUUUGAUAAACACGGCAUUGUCAGAAGGCCAGUCAGUUCCUGUACCCACACUGAUGUAUCAUGUACAUAGAUGAAGUAAGCAUCCAUACUUUAAGUUUUAGGCUAUGCGUUAAUUAUAAUGUCGCCAGUUGUUUGCCGCGAGACAUUUAUACGUACACCAUUAAUAUUUGUAAUCAGUGUUCAAUCAUCGCUCACUAAUCAUUAUAAUUAAUAUACUCGUAAUUCUUAAUGAUACGUGAUCAGAUCAUAUCUCUAGACUGUUAGCAAUAACCUGACAAUAACACCAGACGGUAACUACUUGUAAGAUAAGUUAUCCCGAGCAAAGAGUACAUUAGCAUAUUGUUUCUAAUUUACUAGAUUUAUGUCAAAUAUAAUGUAAACAAUGUUUGUAUAAAUACAAUAAGCUUCUCGCGACGAAAAGCCGGCGACUCUAGGUAAAUAUAUUAAUGUAUUUCGUAAUUACCUUUAUUGGGGAAAUAAAGCUUAAGCCACACAUUCGCUAUAGACUGAUAGUGUAUCUUAGAUGUACAACAGACAGCAAACCGAAUGCCUUACAAUAGUAGCACCUACGGACAAAGGGUCGUGCGUUUAGUCAUUUGACCUCCUUAUCUGAAGCAGAAUAAAUAAAGAAUAUUAGGCUAUCUUCAUACGAGCUCAACACCUAAUUACACUUAUCUAAAUAACUUGCUCAGGUGAAGCGUGGGUACUCGCAAUGCAUGUACCUCCGUCUAGCCCUAAAUAUAGUCGUAAGUUUGUAUUAAAUUUCAUGUUUCGUCUGAAAAUACCACAUUGUCAUGUGACGUUGUAAGUCAACCAUACCCCUCCGCCGGUGUCGACGUUUUCCCUCCUUCAGCGCUUUCCAAUAUUAACGUCUCAGACUGUACCCUGAGCAGAGGGUCAUCUGUGAAUAUUGUUUUAAAUAUUCUAUCGGUUAUCUGCAUACAGCACUCCUCAUUUGCUUAUCGAAAAGUACUGCUCACGUAAAAAGUAGUUCGAAUGAAUCAUCGCACUCUAGUAUUUAGUCACAGCAAAGGGUGUAGCCGUCGACGAAGCUACCAAGCAUCCUUAGCUAGUAGUAGCCUGAGCCCUUACAUGGACGCGAACGUCACUAAUAAACUUGGUUUUUGGUAGAUAUGAGUACGGGGGACACGAGUGAAACCGCCGGUAGUCCGUAGGCCGGUAGCCUUUAUUAGAUAAAGGUCAUAGGUAUAUGCAUACCCUCUUAUUCCUAACAUCCCUCCACCAAAAUUCCCAUUACAGUUACAGUAUUGUUUGGUAUUAUUACAGUUUUGAAAGAUCUAUUGCAAGAAACCCAAUAGAGACUUCCACUUGACGUAUAAGUUAGUGUAGUGGUAGGAGGGCUUGGGUCGUGUUUUCAAGAUCUUAAAGAGCGGCCUUCCAAUCCCAAUUUAACAGCAGACUAAUACCCAGCGCUUGUAAAAGAUAACUUACUGUUCUUUAUUUACUGUGCCUAAUGGUAGGGUCCGCCCCGAUAGCGAUAUAUUAUAUAUAUGUAGACUUAGCAAUAUUAACACUUAAUAGCAUCCACAGCUACGCAACGACUAGAUAAAUAUAUCUAUUCAUUUAAAUACUAGAAAAUAAUAUCACAAAGAAUCAUAAUAUGUCUUAAGCUAUAAUAAUAUAGAAGAUAACUAUGUAACCUUCGAUCAUAUAUAUUUGUAUGUAACUAUGUACGUAACUAUAGAUAUAAGCAAUCAGUGCCAAGUUUUGAGCGAUUGAAAUUUUAAUUUAUUACUAAGAUUCUUUUUUUUUUAAAUGCGACUCUGUUACUAUUAGCACAAAGGUCAAGAUUCAAUUUUCGAUCCACAUACAUAACGUACAUAACCAAACCUUAAUGCUAAAAAAAUAAAUAUUCACUCCAUCAAUAAAGUUUCGUUUUCUUCAUUAUAGGCUAAAUGAUGAAGAAUUUAGGGCACUCUAUCAAGUUAUAAUCACUAGGUUUGAGUUAUCAAAAAAUAGAUUGAAUGCAGAAUUUUGUCAUACUAAUUUUAAUUUUUAUGUUUCCAAUAUUGGUUGGUAAAUAUAAGACCAUUCGUGAGUUGAAGAAGAAUAAUUAUUUUAAUGAUAAAAAAAUGAAAUGAACGACGCUCUCUCUUAACUUGUCACUCAAAUGUAUAUUCAUAUUUCUAGCUACGCCUUGGAGCCAAAUGUAGCCGAUUUUAAGCCAUUACAUCCAAUAGUGUUUGACCGGAUCAAAGAUAAAUUAUGAAAUGCUAAUCUAGAAAUACAAGCCAGUCUAAAAUGAUCAAAAAUCAAUAUCAUUUUACAUUUCGAAUUAUUUUCCAAUUUUAUUUAUGAAUUAAGUAACAAUGAGUACGACGUUUGAUUUGGUUGUCAAGUAGCCUAAUCCAGUAAGAUAUAAUAUUUUAAAACCCCUUGAAUUGGGUAGUUUUCUAGAUCAAAGAUAAAUUAUGAAAUUCUGAUUACUAAAUAAAGGCAGAUCUAAAGGUGUCAAAACAUUUAUUUUUUCUAUUUAACUUAUUUAUGAAUUUUAAUGAAGAAAUAAAACAGGUUUAUUGUGACGUCCCAGGUUGCUUUUCAUACAAAUUCCAUACGUUUUUUUGACGUUUAGUAAAAAGUUACUGAUUCCAUGAGUAGGAUUUAAAUCAGAGUUUCGAUUUAACCAACUAUCUCUAACUUCGAGAGGAAUCUGCUAGUAAUAAAUUAAUAAUAAAAAACUGUAUGUUAUCAAAUAUCACUUAGGUACAUCUUAUAAGACUAGCUAUAAUAAUAUGGUUGGCCGGCUAUGUAUGUGCUGCCGUCCUAUAUCGGAACAUGCCGGCCCGCGGCGAUAAACAAACCGAUUGAUUAGGCUUAAUUAAUCAUUUUAUAUCGUAUUUCAUGAUUCAGUAGUUAAAUAUAUCCUGUGUAUAAUACACAUGCACCUGCCCGGUUAGUAGACUUGGAAUCAUAGUUUAUGAACCUGGAAGACUAUUAUAGCUGGAUAGAACAGAGUGAAUUAGGGGUGUUAGUCUAUCUUCUUAUCGUGUGGGUUGUGAGGUGGAAUACCAUCCUCAUCAACCCUAGUGUCAGGGUUACUUGAGCCGCCACAGGCCCCUGACAUGGCUCAUGUAACGAUUACUCACAUCAGUAAAUAGUUACCGGGACCAACGGUUAAACGUGCCUUCCGAAGCACGGAUCAUCCUACUUUCGGAUAAUCAGGUGAUCAGCUUGUAAUGUCCUAACCAAACUAGGGAUCACAAAGUGAUUUUUUGAAGUAGUGGGGAUAGCAAGAGGUCGGAUACACAAUUCGUCAACAUAUAACUCUCGUUUUAAGACAAAACCAUGAUUGUGGAAUACAUUUGUAUUGUGAUCUUUCGAGCGGGUUUCAUUAUUGCAGUGUAGCUUCUGGCGGGAUUCAGGAAUUCGCAGACAUAUACGUAAACAUUCUUUUCCCUUUUCGACGUGUCUUUGGGUGAGGAUUUUGUCUUUUACCUGACAGAGACAUUUUGACAUAGUAUGUAGUCUAGAAUCGUUCUUAACAAUCGGUUUAGUUACCACGCGUUUAGAUUAAACGUAGCAGGAGUAUUCUAUAUCGGUCAUAUUUUAGAUCUAAGAAUCUAUGUAUAACAAACUAAUGCUACGGAUAUGGUAAAAAGUAGGUCAUUCUAAACAACGUAGAUAGAAGUUCAAUUACAUGUAUAAUCGAUAUUCUUUGAAAUAUUUUUGUGUAUGUAUGGUGCUCGAAUCAGUCGCGGUAGGUAUCAGAUCUUAAAAGAAAAUGUUAAUUUGGUAACAGUUGUGGAUGUUAAUUUGUGUUAGAAUGUUUACUCCGUGUCGUCUCAGAUCAGUAUACCCAUAUAUGGUUUCUGAAUUCAUCCCGUAGAAUAUAGAACUACGUAAUGUUUCUAGUAACUAAUGCCGUACCAACAAAUCAACGUUGGCUAUUCCGUAAUAUGCGGAUUCUAAACCAAAUUAUACCAUACGAUUGACUUGUUACAUAAUGUAGGUCCACAUUCACAGUCUGAAUAACAUGGGCGAGAAGAUAUAAAUAAUCAAAGUAGAGGAAUACUCAGCUAAACUACAAUAAUCUACCACCUGACAAAACCAUGAAUUCUCUGCAAGUAAAUGUUUGUUUGAUCAACAAAAAUCUUUAUCCAUUUAUAAUUCGCACAUUGUUAAUGUAACAUGUUAUCAGUGUUUUAGGAUCUGUACAAUAUAUUUGUAGUUUCCUGCUUGUAUAUUAGUAUUUAGUAGACAAUAAUAAAUUAACUAUAAUAAUAAUAAACCAUUUAUUUCAGGCUACGGUACUAUAGGAAGCCAGUCCUGCGUUACCAUUUAGUUAUUGUUUCUUUAAAUAUGCGACUGAAUUGUAUCAACUUUUUCUUCGACACGCAACGUUUUGCAAUUACAUUUAUCCUAAUUUAAUUAUUAGAUUAUUCAACUUAUAAUAAUACUGUUUUCAAUGUCAUGAUCUUAGUAACAAUUUUAUGCAAGUAUACCAAUCUUCAGGUUGCCUCUGGGACUGGCAGUAGGUUAAAGUAAUGUACAUUCGAAAUCACGAUUAUGCUUCCAACAAGUAGUUAGCACGCGCCGGACAGGUACAGCAGCGUGGGAGGCAAACCGUAUAUGAAGUAAAGUUAAGCUAGUUAUGGGCGCGUUCAGCGAGUGUUUAGCUCGCAACGUACUCCGGCGCUAGUGCAAUUUUGUUUAAAUGUCCUGGUUCCCCAAUAAAGGUAUGAAUGUCAUGUCCACGUAGGAUGUGUACAUGUACAUGUGCGUAAAUUCUAGAAACAAUAUUACAACGGCAACAUGUAACGGAAAUGUCCUUGCAGUAUUACUUGUGACUUAUACUUUGUUCUAACACUUGAAGGUUGUUUCAAAUCUGUUUAUAUCUGUAUUUUUAUAAUAUUAAGAAAUGUAUUAGUAGAAACAAUAAGAAGGAAAUUACGUAAAAUCACCCCCGAAAAGCAGUGUAAAAGAUUUGAAACAAAUUAAUAAAAUAAUGUGAAAACGACAGCUAUAAUUGCCUAGAUUUUUAGUUUAUACACCACAAGCGUUCCGUUUGUUAUAUCUUAGUGAGUAUUUUUAGUUAUUGUAUUUCGUCCAGGGUGUAUACAGGUUACGAAGGGUGGGUGAACUAAUUGUGAUCAGGAGGAUGUUAGCGUAGUUCCUACAAGUGCGAGACGUAUUGGUUAUAACCUGUAUACCUCCUUGCGCCGUCCUGACUGCUAUUAAAGUGAGCGGUUUAGGAUACUAUCUUGAAUGUUCCAUGUCUUCGUCUAGUUAAACAUCGUGGAAUAAUCUCCCGCAAGUUUAUAACUCGACGUAGAUACUAACUAUCAAGGGACAAACGCUCUUCUAAAGUAUUUAGAGCGUUUACAUUUGUAUAAUUACAUAAUAGGUAUUUCAUACAAUAUAGUCAAUCAUUUUGUAAUGUACCUUCCUAUCUAACGACUUAAACAAAGGUCAAGUUUUAAAAUUAAACUAUUUUUAAUUGUAAUGUAAUGAUAUACCUAUAUGUAUUGAUUAUGUAAUCCAAUGUCACGAUUAUACAUAAUAAUAAACUGUUCUCUAUGUUUCAUUUA